rnacentral:rRNA from 1 species
CUACGGGUGGCAGCAGUGGGGAAUCUUGCGCAAUGGGCGAAAGCCUGACGCAGCAACGCCGCGUGCGGGAAGAAUGCCCUUUGGGCUGUAAACCGCUUUCAGCAGGAACGAAAAUGACGGUACCUGCAGAAGAAGAAGCGGCCAACUAUGUGCCAGCAGCCGCGGUGAUACAUAGGCUUCGAGCGUUGUCCGGAUUUAUUGGGCGUAAAGAGUUCGUAGGCGGUUAAGUAAGUCGGGUGUGAAAAUUCUGGGCUCAACCCAGAAACGCCACCCGAUACUGCUUGACUUGAGUUCGACAGGGGAGUGGGGAAUUCCUAGUGUAGCGGUGAAAUGCGCAGAUAUUAGGAGGAACACCGGUGGCGAAGGCGCCACUCUGGGUCGACACUGACGCUGAGGAACGAAAGCAUGGGUAGCAAACAGGAUUAGAUACCCUUGUAGUC